AUUGAGUAUAUCUCUAACACGGUACUGUUGAUUUUAAAAAGCACUUGACCAUUGAGAUGACUGUUAGCUACUAAUACUUGAAGAAAGAAAGAUACUUCAAACUUCAUUCUUUGCAGUAUCCAGAGCAGUGCUUCUCAACAUUGGUUACAGACAUGAAGAGAAAGGAGUUUGAUCAUUUGUGGCCUGUUUGACCAGUCAGCUUCACUCUGCUCUGAGCCCAGGCCCGUAUUUCUCAUUUCACCACACCCAUAAGUGCUUUCUGACUUGGAAAUGGAGAUUAAAUUUAGGCCCUGAGAAGUGUCAGAGAAAAGAUAAUGAGUCAGGCACAUUCCUUCCCUCAGAGAACUUGCAGUCUAGUGAGGGCAAUUGAUAUGCAGUGCUACUACCUCGAGGUGAUGGGCUUUGCAAGGACAGGAUAAGCAAAGGGCUGUACAAGCCAGAAGAAAAGAGGCCUCUAAUGCACCUACCACCGUGUGACUGUUAAAGCGACCCAGGGGCCAGAGACCAGUCCUGAUCCCUACCAUAGCUGCCAAUGUAGCAGCUGCAGAGCUGCAGUUACACUGUGAUAGCAACAGCCAGAGAACAAGGUGAAGCCAGGACUGGCAACCUCAGUGUUGUGGUUAACAGGUGUUAAAGCAAGUACAAAGAAAGUGUAACAGCAAGCCACAACUGGGUUUUGAAAGUGCUCCAUUCAUCCACUAAAUACACGAGUGUGUGCUAAGUCGUUUCAGUCAUGUCCAACUAUUUGCAACGCUAUGGACUGUAACCCACCAGGCACCUCUGCCAAUGGGAUUCUUCAGGCAAUAAUACUGGAAUGGGUUGCUGUGCUGUCCUCCAGGGGAUCUUCCUGAUCCAGGGAUGGAACCCUUGUCUCUUAUGUCUCCUGCAUUGGCAGGCAGAUUCUUUACCACUAAUGCCACCUGGAAGCCCCAACAAGUG
ensembl:lncRNA